rnacentral:rRNA from 1 species
UGGGGAAUAUUGGACAAUAGGCGAAAGCCUGAUCCAGCCAUGCCGCGUGUGUGAAGAAGGUCUUCGGAUUGUAAAGCACUUUAAGUUGGGAGGAAGGGCAGUAAGCGAAUACCUUGCUGUUUUGACGUUACCGACAGAAUAAGCACCGGCUAACUCUGUGCCAGCAGCCGCGGUAAUACAGAGGGUGCAAGCGUUAAUCGGAAUUACUGGGCGUAAAGCGCGCGUAGGUGGUUCGUUAAGUUGAAUGUGAAAGCCCCGGGCUCAACCUGGGAACUGCAUCCAAAACUGGCGAGCUAGAGUAGGGCAGAGGGUGGUGGAAUUUCCUGUGUAGCGGUGAAAUGCGUAGAUAUAGGAAGGAACACCAGUGGCGAAGGCGACCACCUGGGCUCAUACUGACACUGAGGUGCGAAAGCGUGGGGAGCAAACAGG